rnacentral:rRNA from 1 species
GUGUCAGCAGCCGCGGUAAUACAGAGGUGGCAAGCGUUGUUCGGAAUUACUGGGCGUAAAGGGCGCGUAGGCGGCCUUUUUAGUCAGACGUGAAAUCCCCCGGCUUAACCUGGGAACUGCGUCUGAUACUGGAAGGCUUGAGUUCGGGAGAGGGAUGUAGAAUUCCAGGUGUAGCGGUGAAAUGCGUAGAUAUCUGGAGGAAUACCGGUGGCGAAGGCGGCAUCCUGGACCGAAACUGACGCUGAGGCGCGAAAGCUAGGGGAGCAAACGGGAUUAGAUACCCCCGUAGUCC